GUAAAACAACAUAUGAUAGUAUAAUGUCAAUGUAUGUAGGUUGAU
rnacentral:sRNA from 1 species